GAAUUUCUUCUCUUUUUAUUUUACUUUUUUAUAAAACUCAUUGUUCUGAAAACCGAAUCGGUCUGGCCGGUUAAGCUCAUAAACCACUUGGCUGAAAAACAGGUUAGAAAACUGGUUGAACUGACGAUUAACCAUUGUACUGCCGGAACCGGCUGGUUUUUUAAAGUUUCUCGAUUCAAUGCACCCCUCCAAAACGGCGCCGUUUUAUACCUUUCAAAAAAAAAAACUAAAAUCCUAAUCCCCCAACACAGCCCAGUCCCACUCCUCUCUUUGAAACUGAAAAGUGAACAAAGAACCCUAGCCCCCCUCUAGCCCCGCAACCAGCAGCCACCACAGCCCCCGCAUCUCCGAUUCGUUGUCAUCGUGGAACUCUUCUCCGCUGGGAAGCUCCAUCGUAGGAAGCUCCGUCGCCGUCCUAGGAAGCUGUGUCGCCAUCGUAGGAAGCCCCCUCGCCGUCGUGUGGAUGCUCUGUGGCGGUUGUCGUCUCCUCUGUUCGAGCGCUCUCUCUCUCUGUUCACAACCUUGCUUCUGUUUGGAUUUUCAAGAAUAGGAAGCAUGUUGAGAUUCACUGUAAUAAUUGGUACCUGAGAUUAUGCAGUACUGAUAGAGAUAGCCAUUGGGAAUAAUCAUAUGGACAAAAAGUAGACUCACCAAGUUGAGGUAAACAAUAAAAUAAACCGCAUUGAUGAAUGAGAGUAACACUUACAAUAACAGAAAGUCAUUAAGUAAUAAACAUGGACUGACUUGAUUCAAUUCAACUUAAUGCGCCAAAUUGUUUAUGCUGGAAUCAAUUCUGAGUUGUUUAUGCUAUGAUUCUGAUUUUAAAUUGUUUA